ensembl:lncRNA
GGAGGACUUUCAGUUAAUGAGACUCCAAAAUCUUGCAAACAGCUCUGUAAACAUAUGUGGAGAUGGAGGCCGCAGAGGAACCCUGGGAUUGACUCAGAGGGCAAGGCAGGUUUUGGUCUGCUCGUAAGCAAGCUAGGAUUUUGUCAGCUGUCCCAAGUACCCUCUGAAGGAUUCUUUGUCUGCAGAACUGCUGGGCGCCUGUCAUGCCAGUGGAGACAGAGGUUGUGUGUGCAUCUUGGAAGAAAGAAACUUAUGAACUUCAAUGGAGAGAGAGUGAACUUCUAUAUGGAAAACAAAAUUGCAGCUGUAAAGUUCACGGGCAAGCUGUGUCUCAGAAAUAUAAUGAUAAACAAGCUUCCUUCAACGAUUCUGGGCUGCGACUUCUCAUGUUGCAGAUCUGAAAUCAUGAAUUACCAGCCAGCUGGAACAGCAGGAGAAGGAAAGUUCAUACAUACCCUGAGCUCCAGUUAGUCACUGUGAGAAGUGCACAGGAGCUCCGCUGUUUCCGUCUAAUGCUGGCAGAGAAA